UGCGGCAGUAGCGCUCCUCAGGCUCAUAACCUGAAGGUCGUCAGUUCAAAUCUGGCUCCCGCAACCA
rnacentral:tRNA from 1 species